GCAAGUCGAGCGGACAGAUGGGAGCUUGCUCCCUGAUGUUAGCGGCGGACGGGUGAGUAACACGUGGGUAACCUGCCUGUAAGACUGGGAUAACUCCGGGAAACCGGGGCUAAUACCGGAUGGUUGUUUGAACCGCAUGGUUCAAACAUAAAAGGUGGCUUCGGCUACCACUUACAGAUGGACCCGCGGCGCAUUAGCUAGUUGGUGAGGUAAUGGCUCACCAAGGCAACGAUGCGUAGCCGACCUGAGAGGGUGAUCGGCCACACUGGGACUGAGACACGGCCCAGACUCCUACGGGAGGCAGCAGUAGGGAAUCUUCCGCAAUGGACGAAAGUCUGACGGAGCAACGCCGCGUGAGUGAUGAAGGUUUUCGGAUCGUAAAGCUCUGUUGUUAGGGAAGAACAAGUACCGUUCGAAUAGGGCGGUACCUUGACGGUACCUAACCAGAAAGCCACGGCUAACUACGUGCCAGCAGCCGCGGUAAUACGUAGGUGGCAAGCGUUGUCCGGAAUUAUUGGGCGUAAAGGGCUCGCAGGCGGUUUCUUAAGUCUGAUGUGAAAGCCCCCGGCUCAACCGGGGAGGGUCAUUGGAAACUGGGGAACUUGAGUGCAGAAGAGGAGAGUGGAAUUCCACGUGUAGCGGUGAAAUGCGUAGAGAUGUGGAGGAACACCAGUGGCGAAGGCGACUCUCUGGUCUGUAACUGA
rnacentral:rRNA from 1 species